ensembl:lncRNA LINC02128 long intergenic non-protein coding RNA 2128
GAGGCUUUCCAAGGGGCCUGACAGCUUCUGCUUUCUCGGGCCCCUGCUAUCACCAUGUGAACAAGCCUGGGUUGGCCUGCUGCUGGAUGAGAGGCCAUGUAGAACCCAGCCAAGGUGUCCCAGUUAAGGCCAUCUCAGAGCAGCCAGCACCCAGCACCCAGCAGCCUGCCAUUGGUCUCCAGAUGCACGCAUGAGCCCAACCAAGAUCAGCCAAUCCUGCCUCAGACCAGCAGAACUGUGCAGCCCAGCCUGAGAUUUUGCCCACUUUGUUCAUCUCUGCUCACUGGGGGAGCCAGGACACGGAUCCAGGUUUUCUGACUCCAGGUAGGCACCCAAAUCAAGACUCAGAUUUCCUCAUCUCAGAAGUUGUCCACUUCUUCUCCGACCUCCACGGUAACUCGGAACCACACCGUGGAGUUAUCCCUGUGUCCUCUUUCUCGGAAGUUCCACAUCCAACCCCUCAGCAGGUCUCAGCGGCACUCUCACCACCUCCUCUGCUCUGUUCCUGUUUCUCUUGGAUGGUCGAAUGUUUCCUAAGGAGUGUCUGCUGCUUCACGCUUGCCCCCUGGAGUGGCAUCUAAAAGGUGCAGGAUACCCUACAACUAACAGGCAUGAUGCCAUCAAGACAUCUUGAGCCUGGCUACCUCCCGUGGCCUGUAUUUUGUCCACAGGAAACUCGCGCAGUCUCACUACAGCAAAUUGAGGUGGUAUGGGGUGCCUGCUGCUGCCUCUCUCUUCACCUUUCCACAGAGGGCUGCCCCAGCCUGACUCCCACUUCCAGAGUUUCUCCAGCCAGGAGAAUCCUGAAAUCUCUGUAAAUAAGCAAUCCAGGAGCCAGAGAAUCAUGGGAUCUCAUAUAAACAAAUCAUCAAGGAAAAACACAGCCAGAGUCUCCAUUUGGUAAACCUCCGUGACUGGGGAUCCCCGGCCACCCAGAAAGCAGUAUUGCCUGCCAUGCAUGUCAUCACUGAUUUUUACUGCUGCAGCAGACUCCGUCAGACCUGCCUGCUGCUUCAGCGAAUUGUUCAGUGCACACCACCAGCUACCUGCUGUAAGCAUUCACACUCCUCUACCUGCCUGGCAGCAUUUCUCAGCUGAACACAGGCCAGGCCAGAAGUGCCAGGGAUUUAAUGCCCUUAGAAGUAGCUCUCUACCAAUGACAAAUGGAGCUGGUGGAUACAUUCUCAGCUUCCUCCCCUCUCAGGUGGAACAGCCCUGAGAUGUGCUCUAUGCAAUCUCCCACAAGUCCCCAGCAGGCUCAAGCUCCCAUUGUCCAACCCUGGUAACCUGCUCAUUGACACCCCUGUCUUGCCUUCCCUUCCUGGCCUCACUUUCUCACUCUCUUACUGUUGCCUCCUGAGAUCGCAUCCAAAAUAAAUGACCUGCACCCAGA